rnacentral:rRNA from 1 species
UGGGGAAUUUUGGACAAUGGGCGCAAGCCUGAUCCAGCCAUGCCGCGUGCGGGAAGAAGGCCUUCGGGUUGUAAACCGCUUUGUCAGGGAAGAAAUCUUCUGAGUUAAUACCUCGGGAGGAUGACGGUACCUGAAGAAUAAGCACCGGCUAACUACGUGCCAGCAGCCGCGGUAAUACGUAGGGUGCAAGCGUUAAUCGGAAUUACUGGGCGUAAAGCGUGCGCAGGCGGUUUUGUAAGACAGAGGUGAAAUCCCCGGGCUCAACCUGGGAACUGCCUUUGUGACUGCAAGGCUUGAGUGCGGCAGAGGGGGGAUGGAAUUCCGCGUGUAGCAGUGAAAUGCGUAGAUAUGCGGAGGAACACCGAUGGCGAAGGCAAUCCCCUGGGCCUGCACUGACGCUCAUGCACGAAAGCGUGGGGAGCAAACAGGAUUAGAUACCCUGGUAGUCCACGCCCUAAACGAUGUCAACUGGUUGUUGGGAAGGUUCCUUCUCAGUAACGUAGCUAACGCGUGAAGUUG